rnacentral:rRNA from 1 species
ACGAACGCUGGCGGCGUGCUUAACACAUGCAAGUCGAACGGAAAGGCCCUGCUUUUGUGGGGUGCUCGAGUGGUGAACGGGUGAGUAACACGUGAGUAACCUGCCCUUGACUUUGGGAUAACUUCAGGAAACUGGGGCUAAUACCGGAUAGGAGCUCCUGCUGCAUGGUGGGGGUUGGAAAGUUUCGGCGGUUGGGGAUGGACUCGCGGCUUAUCAGCUUGUUGGUGGGGUAGUGGCUUACCAAGGCUUUGACGGGUAGCCGGCCUGAGAGGGUGACCGGCCACAUUGGGACUGAGAUACGGCCCAGACUCCUACGGGAGGCAGCAGUGGGGAAUAUUGCACAAUGGGCGGAAGCCUGAUGCAGCAACGCCGCGUGCGGGAUGAAGGCCUUCGGGUUGUAAACCGCUUUCGCCUGUGACGAAGCGUGAGUGACGGUAAUGGGUAAAGAAGCACCGGCUAACUACGUG